AUUGAACGCUGGCGGCGUGCUUAACACAUGCAAGUCGAUCGGUAACAGGUGUAGCAAUACAUGCUGACGAGAGGCGGACGGGUGAGUAAUGCUUGGGAAUCUGCCUAUUAGUGGGGGACAACCCGGGGAAACUCGGGCUAAUACCGCAUACGCUCUACGGAGGAAAGCCGGGGACCGCAAGGCCUGGCGCUAAUAGAUGAGCCCAAGUCGGAUUAGCUAGUUGGUAGGGAACGGCCUACCAAGGCGACAAUCCGUAGCUGGUCUGAGAGGACGACCAGCCACACCGGAACUCGAGACACGGUCCGGACUCCUACGGGAGGCAGCAGUGGGGAAUAUUGGACAAUGGGGCAACCCUGAUCCAGCGACGCCGCGUGGGUGAAGAAGGCCUGC
rnacentral:rRNA from 1 species